rnacentral:rRNA from 1 species
UUGCCAGACUCCUACGGGAGGCAGCAGUGAGGAAUAUUGGUCAAUGGGCGCAGGCCUGAACCAGCCAAGUCGCGUGAGGGAAGACUGCCCUAUGGGUUGUAAACCUCUUUUAUAAGGGAAGAAUAAUGACUACGUGUAGUCAGAUGCCCGUACCUUAUGAAUAAGCAUCGGCUAACUCCGUGCCAGCAGCCGCGGUAAUACGGAGGGUGCGAGCGUUAAUCGGAAUUACUGGGCGUAAAGCGCUCGUAGGCGGUAUGUCAAGUCAAGGGUGAAAUCCCCGCGCUCAACGUGGGAACUGCCUUUGAAACUGGCAAACUGGAGUGUGUGAGAGGAUAGUGGAAUUCCAGGUGUAGGAGUGAAAUCCGUAGAUAUCUGGAGGAACAUCAGUGGCGAAGGCGACUAUCUGGCACAUAACUGACGCUGAGGAGCGAAAGCGUGGGUAGCAAACAGGAUUAGAUACCCGAGUA